rnacentral:rRNA from 2 species
GGCCCAGAUCGUUUACCGUGAAAAAAUUAGAGUGUUCAAAGCAGGCAGAUUCAAUUUUCUGCCACCGAAUACAUUAGCAUGGGAUAAUGGAAUAGGACCCUGUCCUCCUAUUUUCAGUUGGUUUUGGCAGCGCGAGGACUAGGGUAAUGAUUAAUAGGGAUAGUUGGGGGCAUUAAUAUUUAAUUGUCAGAGGUGAAAUUCUUGGAUUUAUGAAAGAUUAACUUCUGCGAAAGCAUCUGCCAAGGAUGUUUUCAUUAAUCAAGAACGAAAGUUAGGGGAUCGAAGACGAUCAGAUACCGUCGUAGUCUUAACCAUAAACGAUGCCGACCAGCGAUUAGGAGACGUUGAAUACAAAACACCACCAUCGGCGCGGUCGUCCUUGGCGCGUUCGUGUUCACGCACGGGCGCGCGAGGGCGGCUUAGCCCGGUGGCACCGGUGAAUGACUCCCCUAGCAGCUUGUGAGA